GAUGUUUUAUCUAUUAUUUUGCCUACUAGCCUAGUAUUCUUGUGGAACUUAGGUUUCGUGGAAGAGUUGUAGUAAUUGUGUGUUACAGAUUCUGUUUCUACAUGCCUACGCUGCAUCACACUCACACUCUUCCUCUUUCUCUGUCUCCAAGUGUGAAGCUGUCUCAACUCGAGUGAAUGUCUCUCUGAAGCAGCAUAGCCACUGGCCAGAUCGGCGAUUCCGACGACACUGGUCUUUUUCUCAUCAAAAAAUCCCUAAAAUCCCCGCUGGUACAGUCGCCGCUGGUGCCAACCAGAUUUAUCUGCGAUUCCUAGGCCGCUUCCUACAUCGGACUUCGCAAUCACAAGGAGAUACUGUUCAUUGGAUCUCAUUCCAUACUUGGGAGGGCAGUUGUUGUGAAUGCUAAUCUUGAUGAUUUGAAAGCAUGAAAGGCCAUUGGUUUAAAGCUAUGUGUAUCUCUAUAAGAUCUAGCUGACUAUUGUGUUUUGCUUGGUGAGGUGUGCGUGUAAAAGAACUCCUCAAAACAAUUUGGAAACCAACUUUGGCAUAUCAACUCCUGAAUAAGCAAUGUUACAGCAAAUUUAAUUUGUAUAAGAGGCUUUCUCUCUUGGGGCUGCAGUAAUAAAAUUAGAGAAGUGUUGUGGUUUGAUUCUUGUUAACAGGAAAAAAAUUUAGCUUUAGCUGGCUAAAAGUUUAAUGUAUCUUGUGAGAAAAGGUUUUGAAGCAUUCCAUGAUCAAUUGAAGCGCCGUGUAUCUUGAAGUCAGCCUAGGCUAAUUUUCAGUUUUAGUGAAACAUUGAAUGUAUUCUCUAAUUUUAACACAUAAAAGUUUCCUUAUUUAUUUAUACAACAAUCUUUCAAGAA